rnacentral:rRNA from 1 species
UACGGGGGGGGCAAGCGUUGUUCGGAAUCACUGGGCGUAAAGCGCACGUAGGCGGCUCUUUAAGUCAGGGGUGAAAUCCUGGAGCUCAACUCCAGAACUGCCCUUGAUACUGAGGAGCUUGAGUCCGGGAGAGGUGAGUGGAACUGCGAGUGUAGAGGUGAAAUUCGUAGAUAUUCGCAAGAACACCAGUGGCGAAGGCGGCUCACUGGCCCGGUACUGACGCUGAGGUGCGAAAGCGUGGGGAGCAAACAGG